rnacentral:rRNA from 1 species
UACGGAGGGUGCGAGCGUUAAUCGGAAUUACUGGGCGUAAAGCGUACGUAGGCGGUUUGUUAAGUCGGAUGUGAAAUCCCCGGGCUCAACCUGGGUGCUGCAUUCGAUACUGGCAGACUUGAAUACGGUAGAGGGGGGUGGAAUUCCAGGUGUAGCGGUGAAAUGCGCAGAUAUCAGGAGGAACACCGGUGGCGAAGGCGGCACUCUGGGCCGGUACUGACGCUGAGGAGCGAAAGCGUGGGGAGCGAACAGG